rnacentral:rRNA from 1 species
CGCAUGCGCGUGCUACCAUGCAGUCGAACGAUGAACCACUUCGGUGGGGAUUAGUGGCGAACGGGUGAGUAACACGUGGGCAAUCUGCCCUUCACUCUGGGACAAGCCCUGGAAACGGGGUCUAAUACCGGAUAUCACUUUCGCAGGCAUCUGUGAGGGUUGAAAGCUCCGGCGGUGAAGGAUGAGCCCGCGGCCUAUCAGCUUGUUGGUGAGGUAAUGGCUCACCAAGGCGACGACGGGUAGCCGGCCUGAGAGGGCGACCGGCCACACUGGGACUGAGACACGGCCCAGACUCCUCGUUGAGGCAGCAAAUG